rnacentral:lncRNA from 1 species
UAUCAUACCAGCAUACAGUUCCAUGCGUGUAAGCAAGAGUUCUUCGUGCAGGUGGUUCUCGUAAGAAUGGGAACAUUGCAGACCUUUUGAAGACAGUGUGUGCACUGGUUAGUACACAGCAGCACUGCACUGCGUCAGCGACAGGCAUCUAGUAAGAAUCUGAGGUUCCAAAGUUAAACCCUAGUUGCUCCUGUGUCUCACAUUUGGGGGUUACUGGGUAGUUUGGGAAAGCAGAAUUUUCAUAUUAAUUUUUUACUUAAUUUUCCUUGUCUUUGACAUGGGGAGCAUCAGCUAUUUCCAUAUUAUGUUUGAAAGAAAACAUUUAACAAAACCUUUGGGAUAUUUAUUUGGCUUUAACACCAAUUAUGAAAAUUCAUGUGUUUUCUGAGGUGUGGGAGGUAAUUGUGUUAAGUGACUCACUAUAGCAUGCAGCUUGACAACACAAAUGAAAGUGGUUGCUGGAAUAGUAGACUUAACAUUGACAAUAAAAAUAUGACAUUUAAAAA